rnacentral:tRNA from 1 species
CGCGGGGUGGAGCAGUUCGGUAGCUCGCUGGGCUCAUAACCCAGAGGUCGCAGGUUCAAAUCCUGCCCCCGCUACAA